rnacentral:rRNA from 1 species
GAUGAACGCUGGCGGCGUGCUUAACACAUGCAAGUCGAACGGGAAACCUUUUAUUGAAGCUUCGGCAGAUUUAGCUGGUUUCUAGUGGCGGACGGGUGAGUAACGCGUGGGUAACCUGCCUUAUACAGGGGGAUAACAGUCAGAAAUGGCUGCUAAUACCGCAUAAGCGCACAGAGCUGCAUGGCUCAGUGUGAAAAACUCCGGUGGUAUAAGAUGGACCCGCGUUGGAUUAGCUGGUUGGUGGGGUAACGGCCCACCAAGGCGACGAUCCAUAGCCGGCCUGAGAGGGUGAACGGGCACAUUGGGACUGAGACACGGCCCAGACUCCUACGGGAGGCAGCAGUGGGGAAUAUUGCACAAUGGGGAAACCCUGAUGCAGCGACGCCGCGUGAAGGAAGAAGUAUCUCGGUAUGUAAACUUCUAUCAGCAGGGAAGAUAAUGACGGUACCUGACGAAGAAGCCCCGGCUAACUACGUG